UACGGGGGGAGCAAACGUUGUUCGGAUUUACUGGGCGUAAAGGGCGCGUAGGCGGUCAGCACAAGUCAGUUGUGAAAUCUCCGGGCUUAACUCGGAAAGGUCAACUGAUACUGUGCGACUAGAGUGCAGAAGGGGCAACUGGAAUUCUCGGUGUAGCGGUGAAAUGCGUAGAUAUCGAGAGGAACACCUGCGGCGAAGGCGGGUUGCUAGGCUGACACUGACGCUGAUGCGCGAAAGCCAGGGGAGCGAACGGG
rnacentral:rRNA from 1 species